GUGUCAGCAGCCGCGGUAAGACGAACCGUGCGAACGUUGUUCGGAUUCACUGGGCUUAAAGGGCGCGUAGGCGGGCGGCCAGGUCCGGGGUGAAAUCCUCCAGCUCAACUGGAGAACAGCCCUGGAUACCGGCCGCCUCGAGGGGGGUAGGGGCGGGCGGAACUUCCGGUGGAGCGGUGAAAUGCGUAGAUAUCGGAAGGAACGCCGGUGGCGAAAGCGGCCCGCUGGACCCCUUCUGACGCUGAGGCGCGAAAGCCAGGGGAGCGAACGGGAUUAGAUACCCUGGUAGUCC
rnacentral:rRNA from 1 species